AAAAACAGCUCAUGCUUAAAGGGAUCUUUUCACGCUUUGGUAAAUUGACAAAAUUGAAAAAAGUUGUUUCAGAUUCGCAAAUUUUCGUUUUAGUUAUGAUAUUUGUGAGGAAACAGUAAUACUGAACAUUUACCAUGGUCUAAUAUAGCCAUUAUAUGCAUCUUUUGACGAUUUUAAAACCUAAAAAUUAUAAAGCGUUGCAACGCGAAACGAUUGAAUAAUUUGGAGAGUUCUGUUUUUGUCGUUAAAUUUUGUGAAACUACGAAGAUUGCUUAUAUACGGUAUAAAAUACGUCAAGUAUAUGUACUUGGCAGAAUAGCUCAGUAGGCUAAAGCGUUUUUACUUCAGGACUCUGGCAGGACUCCAGGGGUCACUGGUUCGAAACCUGAUCCGGGCAAUGUUCUUUUCCUUUUUUAAAUUUUAUUCUUGAUUUUUUACUGGAGCUUUUACGAUCCAAUGUUUACAUUUAUCGAUAUAAAGCAUUUAAUGAAUAAGUUAAAAAAAUGCCAAAAUCUGUGAAAAGGCCCCUUUAAAUAUGUUAUUGAGCAAGUGACUUCUUAAUACUAUGGCAGGAAUAAAAAAACUGUUAUAAAAUUAAAAAGGCAGUUUAGUUACAUGUAUAAACUCACAGUCACAAGUGUCAAACGCACAACUAAAGAAGUCGUGAUUGAGAGACUGUGAGAGGUAUUCGAUUCCCUUAAUCGUUACCAAUACCAAUCUGGAAAAGAAUCACGUAACACCUGGCGCCUUGACCUGGAUGCAGAUUCUAAGCAGAUGGGCCAAAAUGGGGGCAGCUGGAGAGACUCGCCCGGAACUGACAAGCCUGGAGGAAGCUGGUUUGCAAGUUGGGACAACAGGCGAAGAAUAGAUGAACCUACUUGAUUUGAUAAACAUUUUUAUGUUUUUCAGUUUCGUCGGAAGACGUUUCCCAUCAAUCAUCCUGUCUUGAAAGAAAAAACUUUUGAACCCGAUUUUCUGAUAUUUUCCAGUUUCCCCUCACAACAAUUUGCAUCAAACCUCUUGUCUGUUUGGCAGACAAAACAUGCUGAUCUAAAAGAAUGUGUACCACAGGGGCCAGUGUUUCCAUUUGAGUGAUUGACAAGAAGAAGAGAUGAGAAAUGUUAUCAUCAUAUUUUACACUCUACAUUUAUAGUGUACAGCUCAAUGUAUUGAACUGGUGUUGUAGAAUAUAAUUGGAGAUACAUGCGAACAUUAUAACAUUAUAUAUAAGAUGAUAUUUCAAAAGCAACUAGAAAUAAAAAGUAUAAAAAGGUCAAAACAGUAGACCUUGUGUUUACAGUGGACAAGUUUAAAGUGGAAGUGACUAGUUAACUGUUGAUCAUAAGCUGCACUGAUGGAAAAAAAUAGUGGGACAUUACUAUCUAGAAAACUGUUUAACGUACGACAACAGUUGUGGAACUUCAUAAAUGACCGUAUGUAACAGGGCUGGGCAGUUUUCCUAAUAUAGCUAUAGUGAAACCUUUUGAACACCAGUGAAGUCACUGUUUUUUUCCAAUCUUAAUGCAUUUUGGUCUAAUAUUUGUUCUAAUGAUGGCUCAGUCCAGUUUCGAAAUGUUUAUGUCUAUUCAAAAAACAUAUUCACUAGAGCGCGAGGUAAUUGUCUUUAUAUGGCUAUAAUGAAACCUUGUCAACUCUAUAGAAGUGACAUUUUUAGCCAUAUCUCCAUAAAUUUUGGUCAGAAGAUUUAUUCUAAUGAUAGCUCAGUUGUCGAGUUCGUAACUGGUUCCGGUUUUUAGACUAACAUGGCUGCCAGUGGACAUGACAGUUUUUCUUAAAUUGCUAGAGUAGAACCUUGUUAACACACAAUAGGCCCUUUUUAUGUGCAUUCUUCAUGAAAAAUGAUAAGAGAUUUGGCCCAAUGUAAUCUCAGCUAACUUUGAAACUGGAUCACAUAAGGUCAAAAAGUGGGUCGAAAUGUCAAAUUAAAAAAAGCUUGUAAACACUGGAAGUUGCAUUGUGUUCCUUUUUAUGUCCCCCACCCACUAUAGUGGGGGACAUAUUGUUUUUGACCUGUCUGUUGGUUGGUUGGGUUGUUGGUUUGCGCCAACGUUAACAUUUUGCAAUAACUUUUGCUAUAUUGAAGAGCAACUUAAUAUUUGGCAUGCAUGUGUAUCUCAUGGAGCUGCACAUUUUGAGUGGUAAAAGGUCAAGGUCAAGGUCAUCCUUCAAGGUCAAAGGUCGAAAAACUAAAUAAAAGCGGCGCAGAAGGGGACAUAGUGUUUCUGGCAAACACAUUUCUUGUUUUUAAAGUUUGUCAAAGCAUUUGCUGUAAUGAUAAGCAAAGUCAAGUUUAUAAAUGAUUAUUUGCCUACAAAUUACAUAUUUUUCAUCAAGUACAUUUAUUAUUCUAAACUACACCCUCUCAGAAUAGUUUAGUUCCUUCUGGUCACAGUUGAGCACCUUAGGGCUCUUGUUCUAUAAUUUGAUUGUUUUGGAAAAUUGUCAUUUUGCCAAAAUGUGAGCAAGUCCAAAUUUAAUUAACCCUGCUUUGUAGUAUCUUGUUUUCCUUAUAUGUAUAAAGUGGAAAAUUAUCUAUGAAUCUGACUGCAUAGAUAUUUGGUAUUCAGCAUAGCAUCAUGUAAAUGUAGUAAAACUAAACACAAUUGUGUCAUCAUAAAACUGGCCAUGCCAUGGGGGUCAAAUGGUUAAUAAAGACUUGUAGCAAAAAGA